rnacentral:rRNA from 1 species
CGUAGGUGGUUUGUCGCGUUGUUCGUGAAAUCUCACGGCUUAACUGUGAGCGUGCGGGCGAUACGGGCAGACUUGAGUACUGCAGGGGAGACUGGAAUUCCUGGUGUAGCGGUGGAAUGCGCAGAUAUCAGGAGGAACACCGGUGGCGAAGGCGGGUCUCUGGGCAGUAACUGACGCUGAGGAGCGAAAGCGUGGGGAGCGAACAGGAUUAGAUACCCUGGUAGUCCACGCCGUAAACGGUGGGUACUAGGUGUGGGUUUCCUUCCUUGGGAUCCGUGCCGUAGCUGACGCAUUAAGUACCCCGCCUGGGGAGUACGGCCGCGAGGCUAAAACUCAAAGAAAUUGACGGGGGCCCGCACAAGCGGCGGAGCAUGUGGAUUAAUUCGAUGCAACGCGAAGAACCCUACCUGGGUUUGACAUGCACAGGACGCCGGCAGAGAUGUCGGUUCCCUUGUGGCCUGUGUGCAGUGGUGCAUGGCUGUCGUCAGCUCGUGUCGUGAGAUGUUGGGUUAAGUCCCGCAACGAGCGCAACCCUUGUCUCAUGUUGCCAGCGGGUAAUGCCGGGGACUCGUGAGAGACUGUCCGGGGUCAACUCGGAGGAAGGUGGGGAUGACGUCAAGUCAUCAUGCCCCUUAUGUCCAGGGCUUCACACAUGCUACAAUGGCCGGUACAAAGGGCUGCGA